rnacentral:rRNA from 1 species
UACGAAGGGGGCUAGCGUUGCUCGGAAUCACUGGGCGUAAAGCGCACGUAGGCGGCUUUCUAAGUCAGGGGUGAAAUCCUGGAGCUCAACUCCAGAACUGCCUUUGAUACUGGAGAGCUGAGUCCGGGAGAGGUGAGUGGAACUCCGAGUGUAGAGGUGAAAAUUCGUAGAUAUUCGGAAGAACACCAGUGGCGAAGGCGGCUCACCUGGCCCGGUACUGACGCUGAUGUGCGAAAGCGUGGGGAGCAACAGGGAUUAAGAAACCCUGGGUACGUCC